GAUGUGAUGCUAAUCUCCAAACCAUGUCUCAGUUCGGAUCGAGUCUGCAACUCGACUCCGUGAAGCUGGAUUCGCUAGUAAUCGCGAAUCAGAAUGUCGCGGUGAAUACGUUCCCGAGCCUUGUACACACCGCCCGUCACACCAUGAGAGUCGAUAACACCCGAAGCCUGUGAGCUAACCGCAAGGAGGCAGCAGUCGAAGGUGGGGUUGAUGAUUGGGGUGAAGUCGUAACAAGGUAAC
rnacentral:rRNA from 1 species